rnacentral:rRNA from 1 species
UAGCAUAUCAAUAAGCGGAGGAAAAGAAACUAACAAGGAUUCCCCUAGUAACUGCGAGUGAAGCGGGAAAAGCUCAAAUUUAAAAUCUGGUAGUCUUUGGCUGCCCGAGUUGUAAUCUGGAGAAGCGUCUUCCGCGCUGGACCGUGUACAAGUCUCCUGGAACGGAGCGUCAUAGAGGGUGAGAAUCCCGUCUUUGACACGGACUACCAGUGCUCUGUGAUGCGCUCUCAAAGAGUCGAGUUGUUUGGGAAUGCAGCUCAAAAUGGGUGGUAAACUCCAUCUAAAGCUAAAUAUUGGCGAGAGACCGAUAGCGAACAAGUACCGUGAGGGAAAGAUGAAAAGCACUUUGGAAAGAGAGUUAAACAGUACGUGAAAUUGCUGAAAGGGAAACGCUUGAAGUCAGUCGCGUUUGCUAGAACUCAGCCUUGCCUCGGCUUGGUGCAUUUUCUAGUAAACGGGCCAGCAUCACUUUUGGCUGCGGGAAAAAGAUCAGAGGAAUGUGGCACCUUCGGGUGUGUUAUAGCCUCUGGUUGUAUACCGUGGCUGGGAGUGAGGAACUCAGCACGCCUUUAUGGCGGGGCUUCGGCCACCUUCGUGCUUAGGAUGCUGGCGUAAUGGCUUUAAACGACCCGUCUUGAAACACGGACCAAGGAGUCUAACAUGCCUGCGAGUGUUUGGGUGGAAAACCCGAGCGCGUAAUGAAAGUGAAAGUUGGGACCUCUGUCGUGGAGGGCACCGACGCCCGGACCAGACCUUCUGUGACGGAUCCGCGGUAGAGCAUGUAUGUUGGGACCCGAAAGAUGGUGAACUAUGCCUGAAUAGGGUGAAGCCAGAGGAAACUCUGGUGGAGGCUCGUAGCGAUUCUGACGUGCAAAUCGAUCGUCAAAUUUGGGUAUAGGGGCGAAAGACUAAUCGAACCAUCUAGUAGCUGGUUCCUGCCGA